rnacentral:tRNA from 1 species
UGAGAUAUAGUAUAAUAUAAUAUAGCUCACUUACACUGAGCUGAUGGUUAAACAUAACCUGUCUCAA